rnacentral:lncRNA from 1 species
AAAAGAACCAGUAUUCUAGAGUCUUAAAGCUAGCAGAAGUACCUGAGUUUUCUGCAGCAAGCUUUCUUUUUUUAUCCUGCUCAGUAUUUUUGGCAGCAAGUUUUGAGUUCGGAAACGUAGCUGAGAGCAAAAGGAGGAUCACCCAUACUUUUAUAUAAGAAAACAGUAUUUGCCCACCAUCCAUCCUUAGUCUUGUUCUGGCGAUUUUAGUUUGCGUUGUGAGGGAGUUUUAAAAAAAGAAGUUGUUAUGAGCUAACAACGCAAUUUGAAGAGU